rnacentral:rRNA from 1 species
UACGAAGGGGGCUAGCGUUGUUCGGAAUUACUGGGCGUAAAGCGCGCGCAGGCGGUUCUUUAAGUCAGGGGUGAAAGCCCAGAGCUCAACUCUGGAAUUGCCUUUGAAACUAGAGAACUUGGGUACGGGAGAGGUGAGUGGAAUUCCGAGUGUAGAGGUGAAAUUCGUAGAUAUUCGGAAGAACACCAGUGGCGAAGGCGGCUCACUGGCCCGUUACCGACGCUCAGGCGCGACAGCGUGGGGAGCAAACCGG